rnacentral:tRNA from 1 species
UGGGCGGGGAGCCGCCGGGCCGGGUGGCGAUCGGCCGGGAGCCGGUGGGCCUGGAGCCGCCGGGCUGGGUGGGUACGGCUCCCGCCGGUCGG